CCUACGGGUGGCAGCAGUGGGGAAUAUUGCACAAUGGGGGGAACCCUGAUGCAGCGACGCCGCGUGGGUGAGGAAGUACUUCGGGAUGUAAAGCCCUAUCAGCAGGGAAGAAAAUGACGGUACCUGACUAAGAAGCCCCGGCUAACUACGUGCCAGCAGCCGCGGUAAUACGGAGGGGGCAAGCGUUAUCCGGAUUUACUGGGUGUAAAGGGAGCGUAGACGGCGUGUCAAGUCUGAUGUGAAAGGCUGCGGCUCAACCCCGGGACUGCAUUUGAAACUGGCAUGCUGGAGUGUGUGAGAGGAUAGUGGAAUUCCAGGUGUAGGAGUGAAAUCCGUAGAUAUCUGGAGGAACAUCAGUGGCGAAGGCGACUAUCUGGCACAUAACUGACGCUGAGGAGCGAAAGCGUGGGUAGCAAACAGGAUUAGAUACCCCAGUAGUC
rnacentral:rRNA from 1 species